rnacentral:rRNA from 1 species
GAUGAACGCUGGCGGCGUGCUUAACACAUGCAAGUCGAACGAUGAAGCUCAGCUUGCUGGGUGGGUUAGUGGCGAACGGGUGAGUAACACGUGAGUAACCUGCCCUUAACUCUGGGAUAAGCCUGGGAAACUAGGUCUAAUACCGGAGAGGAGCGUACACCGCACGGUGGGUGUUGGAAAGAUUUAUCGGUUUUGGAUGGACUCGCGGCCUAUCGGCUUGUUGGUGAGGUAAUGGCUCACCAAGGCGACGACGGGUAGCCGGCCUGAGAGGGUGACCGGCCACACUUGGACUGAGACACGGCCCGGACUCCUACGGGAGGCAGCAGUGAGGAAUAUUGCACAAUGGGCGGAAGCCUGAUGCAGCGGCGCCGCGUGAGGGGUGACGACCUUCGGGUUGUAAGCCUCUUUCAGUAGGGAAGAAGAGAAAGUGACGGUACCUGCAGCAGAAGCACCGGCUAACUACGUG